GAGCGCCAAGGGAGGAAUCCGCUUAAACUCUGUUCUUGAAGUGUAGUUUUGCCGCCCGUCUCCCAACAGCCGGGGCUGAGAUCGCCGUUCAUUAACUUUGGAUAAGGAAUUGCCCCAAAUUAAACAAACAAACAAACAAACAAACGCCACCGGCUUCUUCGCUCGUACCGCGGGCGGAACGGGCUGGAGGGCGCGGGGCGAGAUGUAGUGAAUAAAAGUUAUUUUCGCCUUAGUGCUCCGGGGCAGCCUGAACGGAAAGCGCAUCCUUUUGCGGAGAAAAAGCUCUCGGUGCACAUAUCGAUCCCGACACCCGGCAUCUGCCGGGGCCAGCUCCGGCAAAUCUUCUGGUCCGGGGCAACGCACACGUGUUAACAACAAAAAUACGGUCAAUGGUGCGGGACGAUUUAGAGACUUUGUCUAAAUACCAGAGCAGGGUCGCGCUGGAAAAUGCCGGUUUGAAGUCUGACUGGACAACAGGCAUCCAAACCAAGCCGUUUACGGGGAAAUCACAGCUAGAAAGGACAUUUAAAGGACAAGAAACAGAGAGCUCUGGGAGAUGUUUGCCUUGCAGAAACGCACCGGGGAUCUGGCAAGUGAUGAUGAAACACAAAAUUGAAAUCAGUUUCAAGGAUGCUGAGCUCUGGGCACAGGGUGUGUGUUGUGGGAACAGAACACAAUAG
rnacentral:lncRNA from 1 species